GACGAACGCUGGCGGCGUGCUUAACACAUGCAAGUCGAACGGAAAGGCCCUGCUUUUGUGGGGUGCUCGAGUGGCGAACGGGUGAGUAACACGUGAGUAACCUGCCCUUGACUUUGGGAUAACUUCAGGAAACUGGGGCUAAUACCGGAUAGGAGCUCCUGCUGCAUGGUGGGGGUUGGAAAGUUUCGGCGGUUGGGGAUGGACUCGCGGCUUAUCAGCUUGUUGGUGGGGUAGUGGCUUACCAAGGCUUUGACGGGUAGCCGGCCUGAGAGGGUGACCGGCCACAUUGGGACUGAGAUACGGCCCAGACUCCUACGGGAGGCAGCAGUGGGGAAUAUUGCACAAUGGGCGGAAGCCUGAUGCAGCAACGCCGCGUGCGGGAUGACGGCCUUCGGGUUGUAAACCGCUUCCGCCUGUGACGAAGCAUGAGUGACGGUAAUGGGUAAAGAAGCACCGGCUAACUACGUG
rnacentral:rRNA from 1 species